rnacentral:rRNA from 1 species
UACGAAGGGGGCAAGCGUUGUCCGGAUUUACUGGGCGUAAAGAGCGCGCAGGCGGUCGUUCAAGUCGCGUGUGAAAGCCCCCGGCUCAACUGGGGAGGGUCACGCGAUACUGAUCGACUCGAAGGCAGGAGAGGGAAGUGGAAUUCCCGGUGUAGUGGUGAAAUGCGUAGAUAUCGGGAGGAACACCAGUGGCGAAGGCGACUCCUGGCCUGUUCUUGACGCUGAGGCGCGAAAGCUAGGGGAGCAAACGGGG